GGAGAAACAUGUUUGUAAAGAACCACGUAAUGGAACACAGUUAUGAGUGUCUUAAGACAGUAGAGAGGAUGGGUUCACUCCUAUGCCUUGGACGUCUUUCUUGGAAAUGACAGCAGAGCCUAAAUGUAAAGUCUACUGGCAGGAGUUUAUUGCGCUCAGGAGCUCAGCCGGUGACACGUAUGAGGUGUAUUCCAGAACGGUGACUACCACUGCAGUGAAAGCAAACUGCACCACUGUGCUUUGACCACAAACUGUGGCAAGCCCUCAUUACUCCCAGACUGGUAAGGUUUUGUCUUCCCUGCAAGCAUCGUAAGGGCUGAACUCGGUUAGACAAGAGACAACGUGCUUGAAUCAGCAGCUAAUUAAAUUGCUCUUUAUGCGGUGAGCUGGGUGUCAUGCAAGACAAGAUCUUUCAGCUGUAUUGAAACUGCUCCUUACUGCAUUCGAGUUUGUACAUACACUGACAAUCACUUUAUUAUUAGGAUCUGUCUACCGAUACUGGAUUCACUGAAGCAUCUUAACAGAACCGGUCCACCUAAUAAUGCUGCACUUGUACCCUGAU